ensembl:lincRNA
AUGGUAGCUGUUCCAUGGGAGGUGCCAGCCUUGGAGCUGCUGCGGGCACCGCAAAUGUGGGGAAGUGAGCCUGGGGCUGCGGGACACCCAGGCCCAGCCACGGAGCCGCGGGAGGGGGCGGCAGGGGAGGGUCUGAGAGGUCAGCUGGAGGGAGAGGCCGGAUGGGAAUGUGCGCCGCCUGCACGAGGGCCGGGGCAAGCGCAGUGCCCCAGGGUCCUCCCCAAGGAGCUGGGCCUCUGCCUCCGUCCUCUGCCUGCAGACCUGAGUUCUACUGCAAUUCUGGGGCAUUUAAAGGCACCCUCCCAAAGGGCUGAAGAGUCACUUGGGGUUGGAGAGCCAGCUCUGGGGAGGCGGGAAGGGGGGGCGAAGACCUGCCACCCCAUCUCCCACCUCCUCAGGGUCAUCCCAGGCAUCGACAGAAGACAAGGCACAGUCCUCCCAGCACAGUCACCAGGAAGAGGAAGAGAGAGCAAGCGGAACCCGAUACAGCCUCCUAUGAAGGCACCACGAGAGCGACAGCCCCUUUCUGCAGUUUCUGGGUCAGGGAAGUCGGGGGUCUGGCGGUGGAGGAGUGACAGGCUCGAUUACACCAGGAAAUCAAAAAGCGCUCAGCCCCUAGACUGGAACUCAUCUGGGCUGGUCCUGCCUGCUGGUGCCUAGCUCUGGCCUCCCCCGGCUGGCUCUUGACUGUCCAGGCCAGAGCCUGCAGAUGCCCGGAGGCUUCGCUGGACCAGUCUGCUGACCACUGCCUGAACCCUUCAGUCCCUCCAUGGACUAAAUUAGCUGCUGCCUUGACCCAUCAGCCUGUGAACUUCUUUGCUCUGUCAGUCCCUUUCCUAGACCACAUCCAUGGGUCUCAGUCUGUGUCUACCUUCCUGUUUCCCUCAUUUUCUCACUCUUAUAAUUCAACAAAUAUUUUUAGAAAAAAUGCUUUUAUGCGAAUAAAAGGGCGAGGCCAUGAACCAAACUGGUUCUUUGGAAAUCUUGGUUCUGGUCUUGCUAGCUCUUUCAGUUAUUUACAAGUCUUUUAAAAUUUUCUGGGAUAUAUGGGUGGUUUUGUUUGUGUUUUAAGCCACCAUUUUGUUUUCAUUUCUAACUACUGCAUUGUGGUGUGUAGAAAUAGCCUACAUAUUAUUUUUUGGGUGGGAGGAUAUAUUUCGGUUUACUUUGUGGCUCGCUCUAUGGUCAAUUUUUGUGAGUCCUCCAUGUAUCUGUGAAAAUAAUGUGUAUUUUCUUGUGAGUAUGCAGUUCUAAAUAUUUCUAUUAGAUAGGGCUACUGUGUUACUCAAAUCAUCUUUAUCUUUCUCAUUUUUUCUUUUUUUUAAUUACAGUUAAUGAACCACAAGGAAUGUUACAUUAAAAAACAUAAAAAAACAAAAAACGUAAGAGGUUCCCAUAUAUCCCACUCCCCACCCCCACCUCAUCAUUUUUGUAAACUGUAUUUUUUUGAAGAUACAUACAUCACAAAAAAAAAUGUUAUAUUAAAAAAUAUAAGAGGUUCCUGUAUACCCCCACCCACCCCACUCUUCCUACACCAACAACCUCCCCCAUCAUUGUGGCACUCUCAUUGUACUCAGUGAACACAUUUUGGGGCACUGCUGCACUAUACAGAUAAUGGUUUACCCUGUAGUUCACACUCUCCCCCAGUACAUUCAGUGGGUUAUGGCAGGAUAUAUAAAGCCCAGCAUCUGACCCUGCAAUAUCAUUUAGGACAACACAAA